UACGAAGGGGGCUAGCGUUGUUCGGAAUUACUGGGCGUAAAGGGCGCGUAGGCGGUCCUGAUCGUCGGAUGUGAAAGGCCUGGGCUCAACCUGGGAAUGGCAUCCGAUACGGCGGGACUGGAGUGUGGGAGAGGUUGGUGGAAUUCCCAGUGUAGAGGUGAAAUGCGUAGAUAUCUGGAGGAAUACCGGUGGCGAAGGCGGCAUCCUGGACCGACAUUGACGCUGAGGAGCGAAAGCUAGGGGAGCAAACGGG
rnacentral:rRNA from 1 species